AUUGAGGUCUCUGGAGCUCCACUCUUCUCUCCUUCCUUUCUCCAAAGGCAAGGCAGUUCAAAAACUAUGAAAAUUGUGGUCUUUGGAGCUCUACACUUCCUCCUUUCUCCAAAGGUACGUCAGUUCAAAAACUAUGAAAUUGAGAUCUCUGGAACUCAACUCUUCUCUCCUUCCCCCUUUCUCCAAAGGAAAGGAAGUUCAAAAACUAUGAAAUUGAGGUCUCUGGAGCUCCAUUCUUCCUCCUUUUUCCAAAGGCAAGGCAGUUCAAAAACUAUGAAAAUGGAGGUCUCUGGAGCUCCCCUCUUCUCUCCUUCCUCCUUUCUCCAAAGGUAAGUCAGUUCAAAAACUAUGAAAAUGGAGGUCUCUGGAGCUCCACUCUUCUCUCCUUCCUCCUUUCUUCAAAGGCAAGGCAGUUUAAAAAUUAUGAAAAUUGAGGUCUCUG